rnacentral:tRNA from 1 species
GGUCCUGAACGAGCCAAAUUGCAAAUUUGGCCGCGCCGCGGCCACGCGGCCAGGACUU